CCUACGGGUGGCAGCAGUGAGGAAUAUUGGUCAAUGGGCGCGAGCCUGAACCAGCCAAGUCGCGUGAGGGAAGACGGCCCUACGGGUUGUAAACCUCUUUUGCCGGGGAGCAACGGGCGCCACGUGUGGCGCCACUGAUAGUACCCGGAGAAAAAGCAUCGGCUAACUCCGUGCCAGCAGCCGCGGUAUUACGGAGGAUGCGAGCGUUAGCCGGAUUUAUUGGGUGUAAAGGUUGCUUAGGCGGAGGUUUAUGUCAGGGGGAAAUUUGAGGGGCUAAACCCCUUCCCGCCAUUGAUACUGGCGCUCUGGAGUGGAAGAGAAGUAUGCGGAAGGCGUGGUGUAGCGGUGAAAUGCAUAGAUAUCACGCAGAACACCGAUUGCGAAGGCAGCAUGCCGGCUUCCGACUGACGCUGAAGCACGAAAGCGUGGGGAUCGAACAGGAGUAGAUACCCCGGUAGUC
rnacentral:rRNA from 1 species